GUUGAGGAUGGUGUUUGCGUUGUUUUUGUGCUUCAUCGUAGCGUGCGCUUUUGACAUGCGCAUGCGUCGCAGGUUGUGGCGUCGCAGGUUGUGGCGUCACAGGUUGUGGCGUCGCAGGUUGUGGGGUCGGUUAUAUUUUUCCUUGUUCACUGCCAUGUGUUUAUGAUUAUAGAAGUAAAAUUAUGACCAUUACGUUCGAAUUGAUUUGGGAACUAUAGGAACAAUUUUGUCUACAAAUUUUCUUUGUUCUGUAUAACAAACUUGGUGUAGUAUCAUACAGUUUUAGCUGAGGGACGACAGUUUCACUAGAUCGCUCAAACAAUACUUAUACGAUUUGAAUCGAUAUUUGAUUAAAUUAGGCGUUUUGAUAUUUUCAAGUUAUGCGACGUAUUGAUGACCUACGAAUAAAAAGACCUGCGUCCGCUUACACGAAACCAUGGCAGUGCCGCGUAAAUUUGAUACCAUGUGUAACCAGCACUGCGGGCAUCACGUCGCCAUGGCAGCCACGUGCUCGUAACGUGAACAGAUCUGUGUCCAAACUCGGAUGAUAAUUAAAUCCUGGAAAGAGUCCUUAUAACUACAAUCACCCCCACCCCCCACAAGGGACUAAAAGAAUAAGUUUCAGUGCCGUUUCAAUGCUGUUUUUUGUGCCACUCAUAGAAAGCACAUGCUAAAAAGCAUCUUUAGAAUUAUAUCUCCUGGAGUUCACCCUUCUGUAUUUUUGACUAGUUGUUCUAAACACAUUUGUACUUUACUCUUAUUUGGUUCACCUGAACUAAGCGUAAAUAAUAAUCAGUUGAUCUUAAAAUCUGUACAUAAUUUUAUAAGCAUGUCCAAUAGAUUCACCAUCCAAGCCUAGCAGUAAUAUGAUUUGACUUUGAUCUUUCUUUGUUCCCAUCACCUUAUUCUGUACAUGUACAUGUCAUUUGUUCUCUUUGUUUUCUAUGUUGGUGUAUAUACGUUGAUGUUAUGUUGAGGAGAUCCCCUCGUGGCUAUAGAGCUGUGGGAAAUCCUCAAUAAACAAAUAAAGAAUUACAAUUAUUUUGUGUGUACUCAAAAAAUGGAGCAUAAUAUUCAUCGUGUUAAAUGACAUUGCCAUGCUGGAUAUGUGUAAAGUUGCAAUCAAAGCCAAAAUAAGAUGCAUAUGCUAUUAUCGACAACUUAUAAUUAAAUUUAGAAUUGCAUGGUACAGGAUUUGAAUACUGAUUUCACUCAUUCGACCAGAACAUACCUUGUGCUCCUCCGUCAUUAUUGAAAACGGUUGAUUGGUUCUCUUUGCAUGACCCUGUCCUAAUUUUGUACUUAUUAUAUACUUUCUUAAUUGUUUGGUGGUUUGUGUAUAGCGGAUUUUUGGGAAUGGGUCUUGAGAUUAUUGACCUGAAGCUUCUUGCACGAAACGGCAGACUUAGGCUAACUUGACCGUAAUUGCCAUGGCAACAUGUCUUUAACAUUAUUGACAGGCAGCAAUACGAAUGUUUGUUUCGACGAAUAUGUUGCUGAAUGACGUCUAGGGCAUAUUCACGUGGAGUGUGUUUCAGGACUUGCUGUAACAAGACAUCCUCAUUCCACACGCCAUAAUGUACACACCUGACUGAGUAUGCACAGAUUGAGAAUAUUUCUCGCUUAAAUUAGGAUCAAGUUUCUCAAUUAAGUGCAACGGAUGUUAUCAUGGAAUGGUGAAAAUUACGACAUUGUAGUUCCAACACAGCACGUCAACAGAUAUCUGAUAACAAAUCCUGGAAAUAAAUAAGAAAAAGUAAAAUAAAUAAGAAAUAAUAAUAAGAAAUAAAAAAAAAUUUACCGAUGACAGGAAGUGGCAAAAAGAAAACGAAGAAAACGGGCUUCUUGUACUUAUGCUUAAGGUAAGCUUGCUUGUUCAUUUUUUUUUUUCUCACCAAAAAUAUACUUCCAUUAAGCAAUUAUUUAACAGUUGAAAACUACUGGACUAUAUUACACAUCACACCAUACCAUAUCAUACUGCUAUAUUUAUGUAGUUAUAAUAUCUCGUUUUCUAGCACGUCGACAAAUUUGUCCUGUUUAGUUUACAAUCUCACUAUAAUAUGCACACUGGUGAACUUUUUGUAUUCAGUAUUUCUUCAGAAUAUUGCUCGUCCUGUACUCUCGUAAAACCUCACUUAUUUGUCUUAUAUCCUGGGACCAGCCAUUCACCUGGCUUUCAAAACUCUUGUGUAAAUCAUUUGCAUAUAUAAAAACCGAAUUAUACUUUGUUUCUUUCAGAUGUGCCAAAUAAAAAAUAGUAACCAGACAGAAUAUAUAAACAUUGGAACUCAGGAAAGUGCAAAAUACGAGUUUGUACGGAUUGAUCGGACAGUACUGAUUUACACCGGACCCGAUCUGCUGACAACGACGUAUAUAACUUUGGUAUGUAACAGUUUUGGUGACCCUGGAUCAUUCGUUAUCGGCGAGGAUUUUCAGAAACCAGGACAAUUUUACGGGGAAUACAAUGGUAAAUACGCAUGCGCUGUAGAAUCAACACCAAAGCCAUCUGGCGACAUACUUAUCGGCGGUUUUUCCAUUGGUACCCUCGUCUGCUUUGCGUUUGCUGGCUCUAUAGCUUUGUUCUUCCUCAUCGGAGUUCCAUAUCAAAUGUUCGUUAACCAGGCGUAUGGGUUUACAGUUAUACCCCUAUGGUCGACAUGGAUUUACCUGGCUUC